rnacentral:rRNA from 1 species
AGCGAACGUUAGCGGCGCGCCUAACACAUGCAAGUCGCACGAGAAAGGGCUUCGGCCCCGGUACAGUGGCGCACGGGUGAGUAACACGUGGGUAACCUUCCCGAGAGUGGUGGAUAACCUGCCGAAAGGCGGGCUAAUACAGCAUACGACCCCGGCGUUUCGACGCUGGGGUGAAAGCAGGCCUCUGUUCACAAGCUUGCGUUCUCGGAUGGGCCCGCGUCCCAUCAGCUAGUUGGCGAGGCAACGGCUCACCAAGGCGACGACGGGUAGCUGGUCUGAGAGGAUGGCCAGCCACACUGGAACUGAGACACGGUCCAGACUCCGUACGGGAGGCAGCAGGUGGGGAAUCUUGCGCAAUGGUCGAAAGACUGACGCAGCGACGCCGCGU